rnacentral:SRP_RNA from 2 species
GGUGGCCGGCCAGACAAGCGUAACGAGGUGAACUCCGCCAGGUCGGGAACGAAGCAACGGUAGCUUUUGCUGCGUUGUGUUUGUGUCGGCUGCCCCU